AAGACGCAUCCUGGAAAAUAAAUUUAGUAAAGGGCAAAGAAUGGUCACAUCCCAACAGAUGGGGAGGGACCCGGCCAGAUCCUCUGGAAGGCAGGAUUAGCAGUUGGUUGGUUGGAAUGUGCAGGGAGUGAACAAUCCAGAGGCAGUUAGAAGGUGGCCAUGAGAGAGAGGGUCACAGUUGGUACGCAGACAGUUGGAGAGAGAUAGGUCAAGGCACAGACACCGGUCUCAUGAGCAGAACAGGGCAACUGGUCAGGAAUGCUGGUUUUGGCUUGUGGGAAGUCACCAACGUUAAGCCUCACAGCAGGGUGAGCUGAGCCCCUGUGUGCGGGGCUGCAAUGUAGAAAGAGCGCCCAGACAACUUUAUCACUAAUAAGGGGCAAGAAGAAACUGAAGAGGCAACUCAAGGGGCCGCUGAGAAUUCCACGAUGGGGCAAACUCAUUGAGACCUCGUUCGGAGAGCGCGGGGAGCAAGCAGAGAAGAGGCAUCAUGGCUUGUGCCCACGAGAAAUGCCAGAAAACGGCAGAUUUCUGUCCUCAGGGAAAGGCCUGGCAGCGUCUUGAGCAGGCAAAUCCAGGAGAGUAAGUUAAGUAAAUCCUGGAGCUGGUUCGCUAACGUCA